CAAGCAACAAACAAACACAUUUUUAUUUCUUCAAUUCAGUUCCAUCCAGAUGGAGCUUUAGAUCCCCAAUGAACAAGCUGGAGAUGAGAGCAACAAGUAAGACACGAGGAAGAAACCUUUAGAAGAGCCGAACUUAAAAGCCAAGUCAUGGUCUGUCCAUCUUGCUGUCGUUGCUAGUCUCACCGGAGUCCCUGCUUUCACUCACGCAAAGAGUUUGUUCAGAUCCAGCGAUGAAGCGCGAGAGUGUGUUUUCUGAGGACGUGGUGGAGGAGUUGGGGGCUCUUCUGAUUUCUUCAUAGCGUCGUCUAUAGAGGUGCUGGAGUAAGACCUGUGAAUCACACACACACACAUAUAUGUAAAGAGUAUAUCAUGAACCAGGGCAUCUAAUAAAAACUUUUACUAUA